GAGGGGGAGGAGGAGGGUUGGGGGUCGGCGGAGAGCGGGGAGGGGGCCGUGGGAGUAGCGACGUGGGUGAUCGGAGGGCGGCGACGGCGGGGGCGGUGGGGAAUGGAGGCGGAGGAGAUGGAGGUGAGGGAUUUCGGGGCGGUGGAAUUGUGGUGGGGAAGGAGGGAGAGGGAGGAGUAGAGGAGUGAAGCAGCUGCCAUUGGCUGGGGGAGAAGGAAGGUC
rnacentral:misc_RNA from 1 species